AAAAAGUUUGAAUCUGGCUUAGUCUUUGCUCCCGGGUUAAAUCUAUAUAUUAACAAGCGAAUUUAAAAUAUUGAAUGUAGUAGAUAAUAUUAGGAAACAUUUAAAGUUGGACCUAGUUAAAUCUUAAAAAUUGACCAAAAUCGUGCCAGCCGUCGCGGUUAGACGAAGAAUUUAAGUAAAGAUUACUGUUAAAACUAGCUAACAAUUAAAUUUAUUAAAGUAAAUUAUUUAUUUUUUAUGAGUGAAACCUGUAUAAAAUUUUAAAUAUUCUUUAUAAAAUUUAUAGGAGCUAAGAAAUUUAGGUUAAAAACCAGGAUUAGAUACCCUGUUAUUCUUCAUACUAAAAACAAGGGUAGUAAAAGUUGUUCUUCAAACCCAAAGAUUUUGGCGGCAUUUUAUCCAAAUAGAGGAACUUGUCCUAUAAUCGAUAAUCCUCGUUUAAUCUUUCCUCUUUUUGUUUAGCUUGUAUACCUCCGUUGUCAGAUUACUCCAAAAGGAUGUUUUCAAUAAAAAUAAUUUUUUGACUUCAGGUCAAGGUGCAGUUUAUGGGGAGGUAGUGAUGAGUUACAAUUUAAAUUAAAAAAUACGGAUCUUUAUUUUCUAAGUAAUUGAAGGUGGAUUUAUUAGUAAAUUAUAUUAAGUAUAAAUAAUUGAAUUAGGUAAUAAAAUGUGUACAUAUCGUCCGUCACUCUCCUCUUAAGAGGAGAUAAGUCGUAACAAAGUAGAUGUACUGGAAAGUGUAUCUAGAAAUGA
rnacentral:ncRNA from 1 species